rnacentral:rRNA from 1 species
GUCUACGGCCAUGCCACCCUGAACGUGCCCGAUCCCAUCUGAUCUCAGAAGCUAAACAGGGUCGGGCCUGGUUAGAACUUGGAUGGGAGACCACCUAGGAAGACCACAUGCUGUAAACG